AUAUGGUACGAGAGAGAGGGAGAGAAGGAGAAAAACCUUCUCCUUCAACAACAACAAGAAAUCCAGCAAAUCAAAGAGGUUCUAAGCCUGAAACUGAAUGCAUGUAUUGAGAUUCUUGAUCAUCUAAGUGUCUCUAACAUAAGGAGUGAAAAAGGAGGAAACGAGCCAUUCCGGGUCACAAACAAGGCAACGUAAAGGAAAGGCUACUUGAUCGAUGGCACUACUUGGAUCGAACACACUCAUGAUGCACGCUUCCGCGAAGAUCCUAUUUAUGGUUUAAGCUUUUGGUUAAAUGUUUUUGUUAAAACGGGUCUUUUGUAUGUAAGUCAACCCGGUAGUGGUUAGGUAUUAAACUUGUAGUUAAAGACUUGGUUAAUACUUUAUGAAAUAUUGGGGUAUAAACUCUUUUGUUAGUUAA